GUGAAUUUGGCUUGACAAGAAGUCACUCUCAAAGAAAUAAUGUCCCUGCACCAAUCUGAUCUUGAGGUCUUGGAAUCCUCAAAUGAAAGAUGUCAAAGCAAGGCACACCAAUCUCAAAGCCAACCACAACAAAACCAAUGAAGCAAUAAAGACAAACAAGAAAAGGUAUAAGCAAUGAAAGGCUAUAACAAAAGGAAAACUAGAUGUAUGACAAACUCAAAGAUUAAUGAAUAAAGACAAGCAAGAAAAUAAGGAACUCAAUGAAAAAGUAGGCACACAAAAGAAUACCUAAAGAAAAGCACUAGAGUAGAUGAAGAAAACAAAA
rnacentral:lncRNA from 1 species